rnacentral:tRNA from 1 species
UACUGCGCUCGCCUUGCACGCGGGAGACCCGGGUUCGAUUCCCGGCGGGGCCA